rnacentral:rRNA from 1 species
CAUGAGAGUGGCGCACGGGUGCGUAACGCGUGAGCAACCUACCCAUAUCAGGGGGAUGCCUCUCGAAAGAGAGAUUAACACCGCAUAACAUCAUUUACCGGCAUCGGAUUAUGAUCAAAUAUUUAUAGGAUAUGGAUGGGCUCGCGUGACAUUAGCUAGUUGGAGGGGUAACGGCCCACCAAGGCUACGAUGUCUAGGGGCUCUGAGAGGAAAAUCCCCCACACUGGUACUGAGACACGGACCAGACUCCUACGGGAGGCAGCAGUAAGGAAUAUUGGUCAAUGGAGGGAACUCUGAACCAGCCAUGCCGCGUGCAGGAUGACUGCCCUAUGGGUUGUAAACUGCUUUUGUCAGGGAAUAAACCUUUCCACGUGUGGGAAGCUGAAG